CGGAACGUGCCUAGUAGUGGGGGAUAACUACUCGAAAGAGUAGCUAAUACCGCAUGAGAUCUAAGGAUGAAAGCAGGGGACCUUCGGGCCUUGCGCUACUAGAGCGGCUGAUGGCAGAUUAGGUAGUUGGUGGGAUAAAAGCUUACCAAGCCGACGAUCUGUAGCUGGUCUGAGAGGACGACCAGCCACACUGGGACUGAGACACGGCCCAGACUCCUACGGGAGGCAGCAGUGGGGAAUUUUGGACAAUGGGCGAAAGCCUGAUCCAGCAAUGCCGCGUGUAGGAUGAAGGCCCUCGGGUUGUAAACUACUUUUGUACGGAACGAAAAGCUCUCUUCUAAUAAAGGAGAGUGAUGACGGUACCGUAAGAAUAAGCACCGGCUAACUACGUGCCAGCAGCCGCGGUAAUACGUAGGGUGCGAGCGUUAAUCGGAAUUACUGGGCGUAAAGCGUGCGCAGGCGGUUAUGUAAGACAGAGGUGAAAUCCCCGGGCUCAACCUGGGAGCGGCCUUUGUGACUGCAUAGCUAGAGUACGGUAGAGGGGGAUGGAACUCCGCGU
rnacentral:rRNA from 1 species